UCUUUGCACUAAGGAGGACUAAACAUAAAGAGGCUUGUAGGCAUUGGAGCCAUUAUUCUGGCUGUCAUUUUGACUUUGGGACUUUUGCUGAGCAUGUCCUGGGAGAGAAACAGCGAAUCCAAUGAAGACGACAUGAGCGCAGAAAAUAAAACACAAGUGUGUUAAGGCCAUAUUAGUGACAGCAAUAUUACAAUACAAUAUUUCCAUUCCUUACAUCAACUGCUCUCUCAAACCACUAGGCGGAUGCAGCUCCUGUUUAUGCCAAUAUCUCUGCCAUGGCUGUGACAUCUGACGUUGCCAAGAGAGAGAAUGUAGAUGAUGAUGAUGAUGCUGAUGUUGAGUAUGCCAGCAUCCACUUCAAUGCCUUCGACACACAGGAAGCACACUCGAUACGCAUCAGACCAAGCGCUGCCAGUCGGUGAGAUGUUCAUACGAUUAAAAAAACUAAAA